rnacentral:lncRNA from 1 species
CCGAGCAGAGGUCCGCCAGAGGCUGGGUCCUCCUGCUGGCCCAGUCCCAGCUGAGGCCUGCCUGUGACCUUCUAGCCCCCAGGAGAAGGAGGUGAACAAUCGCCUCCACGCUGCAGGGCCAGACCCCGAGGACUGCCAGACAGAAUGCCCCCAUGAGGAGGAGGAGGAGUAGACAAAAUCCAGUGGCAAGACAAAUGUUUGAAUAACUGGCAAUAGCCUGGGAUGCAUUAGAUGAUCUUUGCAUCUUCCAUGUCUGGCCAACCUCUAGGCCCUCUACUUCAUGACUCCUGGAAUAAAUUGUUCUCAUCCCCCCAUUUUGCCAAGAGAAGUCUUCAUAUGCUUCAGAAUGAAAUAGAAGGAAGAAAGAAGCCUAGGCAAGCAGGACAAACUUCAAAGUCGUAUUUGGAAUUUAUUCCACACUUCAAAAAUAAAAACAAAACAAGAUUUGUAGUUUC